AUGGACUUAGACUUCCCACAAGCCUUCCAGAAAGAACUCGCCUGCCUCAUCUGCCUGAAUUACCUCAUAGACCCCAUCACUAUAGGCUGCGGGCACAGUUUCUGUAGGCCCUGCCUCUGCCUUUGCUGGGAAGAAGCACAUAUUCCUGCCCUGCAUGCAGGGAACUGUCACAGCAGGAAGAUUUCAACCAAUAUUCCUCUGAAGAAUCUAGUGUCCAUUGCCAGAAAAGCCAGUCUCUGGCAAUUCCUGAGCUCUAAUGAACAAAUGUGUGGGAUCCACAGGGAGACAAAGAUGUUCUGUGAUGUGGACAAGAGCUUGCUCUGUUUUCUGUGUUCUAACUCUCAGGAACAC
rnacentral:lncRNA from 1 species